UACGGAAGGCAGCAGUGGGGAAUAUUGCACAAUGGGCGCAAGCCUGAUGCAGCCAUGCCGCGUGUAUGAAGAAGGCCUUCGGGUUGUAAAGUACUUUCAGCGGGGAGGAAGGCGAUGCGGUUAAUAACCGCGUCGAUUGACGUUACCCGCAGAAGAAGCACCGGCUAACUCCGUGCCAGCAGCCGCGGUAAUACGGAGGGUGCAAGCGUUAAUCGGAAUUACUGGGCGUAAAGCGCACGCAGGCGGUCUGGUUAAGUCAGAUGUGAAAUCCCCGGGCUUAACCUGGGAACUGCAUUUUGAAACUGGCAGGCUUGAGUCUUGUAGAGGGGGUAGAAUUCCAGGUGUAGCGGUGAAAUGCGUAGAGAUCUGGAGGAAUACCGGUGGCGAAGGCGGCCCCUGGGCAAAGCUGACGCUCAGGUGCGAAAGCGUGGGGAGCAAACGAGGAUUAGGAUACC
rnacentral:rRNA from 1 species